AUAGUUGGGGUCCCACAUAUCCCAUAUAUAAUUUGAAAGAUCUUUGUAAUCAUUACCAAUUUUUAUGGGGUGACACACACAUCAGUAUAAUUUGCAUGGCAUCUGCUUAGAACUUUAGUUUCUAGUAUUUGUAGUUCUUCCCAAACCAGGUCCAGUUGAGUUUGCAGGUUAAGAACAGCAAUUCAUACAUCUUGAAAUAGGACUGCACUUUGUCCUAGAGAAAGGGAUGUGUUAUAGGCGAGUCAGUCAACAGCAGCAGCAGUCAUAAUUUGGUUACGCAGUGUAAGGAGGUGGUACCUGCAGCAGUUAGUGGUUGUUAGGGAGACGACUAUGGCGGCAAUGACAGCUACAACUCGAUCUCGCUGACGUCAUGGGGAAGCAUUACAUAUGGCCCAUGGAUUCUCGCCAUUCACCUAAAAUGCAUGCGUUAUGAAGCUGGACAUGGUGGUGCACACCUGCAAUCCCAGCCCUUGGGAUGCUGAGGCAGGAGGAUCGAGAGUUUGAGGCCAGCCUGGGCUACAUGGGGAGAUCGAGGCCAGUCUGAACUAGAUAGUGAAACCCAGUCUAAAAAAAAUAAAUAAAUAAAAAUUUUAGAAACCAUG
rnacentral:lncRNA from 1 species